UUGAACGCUAGCGGGAUGCCUUACACAUGCAAGUCGAACGGCAGCACGGACUUCGGUCUGGUGGCGAGUGGCGAACGGGUGAGUAAUGUAUCGGAACGUGCCCAGUAGCGGGGGAUAACUACGCGAAAGCGUAGCUAAUACCGCAUACGCCCUAAGGGGGAAAGCAGGGGAUCGCAAGACCUUGCACUAUUGGAGCGGCCGAUAUCGGAUUAGCUAGUUGGUGAGGUAAUGGCUCACCAAGGCGACGAUCCGUAGCUGGUUUGAGAGGACGACCAGCCACACUGGGACUGAGACACGGCCCAGACUCCUACGGGAGGCAGCAGUGGGGAAUUUUGGACAAUGGGGGCAACCCUGAUCCAGCCAUCCCGCGUGUGCGAUGAAGGCCUUCGGGUUGUAAAGCACUUUUGGCAGGAAAGAAACGGCGCGUGUUAAUACCAUGCGCAACUGACGGUACCUGCAGAAUAAGCACCGGCUAACUACGU
rnacentral:rRNA from 1 species